GACGAACGCUGGCGGCGUGCUUAACACAUGCAAGUCGAACGGAAAGGCCCUGCUUUUGUGGGGUGCUCGAGUGGCGAACGGGUGAGUAACAUGUGAGUAACCUGUCCUUGACUUUGGGAUAACUUCAGGAAACUGGGGCUAAUAUCGGAUAGGAGCUCCUGCUGCAUGGUGGGGGUUGGAAAGUUUCGGCGGUUGGGGAUGGACUCGCGGCUUAUCAGCUUGUUGGUGGGGUAGUGGCUUACCAAGGCUUUGACGGGUAGCCGGCCUGAGAGGGUGACCGGCCACAAUGGGACUAAGAUACGGCCCAGACUCCAACGGGAGGCAGCAGUGGGGAAUAUUGCACAAUGGGCGGAAGCCUGAUGCAGCAACGCCGCGUGCGGGAUGACGGCCUUCGGGUGGUAAACCGCUUUCGCCUGUGACGAAGCGUGAGUGACGGUAAUGGGUAAAGAAGCACCGGCUAACUACGUG
rnacentral:rRNA from 1 species